CUUAACACAUGCAAGUCGAGGGGCAGCAUGGUCUUAGCUUGCUAAGGCCGAUGGCGACCGGCGCACGGGUGAGUAACGCGUAUCCAACCUGCCUUACACUCUUGGACAGCCUUCUGAAAGGGAGAUUAAUACAAGAUGUUAUCAUGAGUAAGCAUUUUCGCAUGAUUAAAGGUUUACCGGUGUAAGAUGGGGAUGCGUUCCAUUAGAUAGUAGGCGGGGUAACGGCCCACCUAGUCUUCGAUGGAUAGGGGUUCUGAGAGGAAGGUCCCCCACAUUGGAACUGAGACACGGUCCAAACUCCUACGGGAGGCAGCAGUGAGGAAUAUUGGUCAAUGGACGAGAGUCUGAACCAGCCAAGUAGCGUGAAGGAUGAAGGUUCUAUGGAUUGUAAACUUCUUUUAUACGGGAAUAAACGAAUCCACGUGUGGAUUUUUGCAUGUACCGUAUGAAUAAGGAUCGGCUAACUCCGUGCCAGCAGCCGCGGUAAUACGGAGGAUCCGAGCGUUAUCCGGAUUUAUUGGGUUUAAAGGGAGCGUAGAUGGGUUGUUAAGUCAGUUGUGAAAGUUUGCGGCUCAACCGUAAAAUUGCAAUUGAUACUGGCAGUCUUGAGUACAGUUGAGGUAGGCGGAAUUCGUGGUGUAGCGGUGAAAUGCUUAGAUAUCACGAAGAACUCCGAUUGCGAAGGCAGCUUACUAACCUGUAACUGACAUUGAUGCUCGAAAGUGUGGGUAUCAAACAGGAUUAGAUACCCUGGUAGUCCACACGGUAAACGAUGAAUACUCGCUGUAGGCGAUAUACAGUCUGCGGCCAAGCGAAAGCAUUAAGUAUUCCACCUGGGGAGUACGCCGGCAACGGUGAAACUCAAAGGAAUUGACGGGGGCCCGCACAAGCGGAGGAACAUGUGGUUUAAUUCGAUGAUACGCGAGGAACCUUACCCGGGCUUAAAUUGCAACCGAAUAUGGCGGAAACGCUAUAGCUAGCAAUAGCGGUUGUGAAGGUGCUGCAUGGUUGUCGUCAGCUCGUGCCGUGAGGUGUCGGCUUAAGUGCCAUAACGAGCGCAACCCUUGCCGAUAGUUACUAACAGGUCAUGCUGAGGACUCUGUCGGGACUGCCAUCGUAAGAUGUGAGGAAGGUGGGGAUGACGUCAAAUCAGCACGGCCCUUACGUCCGGGACUACACACGUGUUACAAUGGGGGGUACAGAGGGCUGCUACCACGCAAGUGGAUGCCAAUCCCAAAAACCUCUCUCAGUUCGGAUUGAAGUCUGCAACCCGACUUCAUGAAGCUGGAUUCGCUAGUAAUCGCGCAUCAGCCACGGCGCGGUGAAUACGUUCCCGGGCCUUGUACACACCGCCCGUCAAGCCAUGGGAGCCGGGGGUACCUGAAGUGCGUAACCGCAAGGAGCGCCCUAGGGUAAAACUGGUGACUGGGGCUAAGUG
rnacentral:rRNA from 1 species